AGAGUUUGAUCCUGGCUCAGGACGAACGCUGGCGGCACGCUUAACACAUGCAAGUCGAACGAGAGAAGAGAAGCUUGCUUUUCUGAUCUAGUGGCGGACGGGUGAGUAACACGUGAGCAAUCUGCCUUUCAGAGGGGGAUACCGAUUGGAAACGAUCGUUAAUACCGCAUAACAUAAUUGAACCGCAUGAUUUGAUUAUCAAAGAUUUAUCGCUGAAAGAUGAGCUCGCGUCUGAUUAGCUAGUUGGUAAGGUAACGGCUUACCAAGGCGACGAUCAGUAGCCGGACUGAGAGGUUGAUCGGCCACAUUGGGACUGAGACACGGCCCAGACUCCUACGGGAGGCAGCAGUGGGGAAUAUUGCACAAUGGAGGAAACUCUGAUGCAGCGAUGCCGCGUGAGGGAAGAAGGUUUUAGGAUUGUAAACCUCUGUCUUCAGGGACGAAAAAAGACGGUACCUGAGGAGGAAGCUCCGGCUAACUACGUGCCAGCAGCCGCGGUAAUACGUAGGGAGCGAGCGUUGUCCGGAAUUACUGGGUGUAAAGGGAGCGUAGGCGGGAUCGCAAGUCAGAUGUGAAAACUAUGGGCUUAACCCAUAAACUGCAUUUGAAACUGUGGUUCUUGAGUGAAGUAGAGGUAAGCGGAAUUCCUAGUGUAGCGGUGAAAUGCGUAGAUAUUAGGAGGAACACCAGUGGCGAAGGCGGCUUACUGGACGAUAACUGACGCUGAGGCUCGAAAGCGUGGGGAGCAAACAGGAUUAGAUACCCUGGUAGUCCACGCCGUAAACGAUGAUUACUAGGUGUGGGGGGACUGACCCCUUCCGUGCCGCAGCAAACGCAAUAAGUAAUCCACCUGGGGAGUACGACCGCAAGGUUGAAACUCAAAGGAAUUGACGGGGGCCCGCACAAGCAGUGGAGUAUGUGGUUUAAUUCGAAGCAACGCGAAGAACCUUACCAGGUCUUGACAUCCGAUGCAUAGCGCAGAGAUGCGUGAAGUCCUUCGGGACAUCGAGACAGGUGGUGCAUGGUUGUCGUCAGCUCGUGUCGUGAGAUGUUGGGUUAAGUCCCGCAACGAGCGCAACCCUUACUGUUAGUUGCUACGCAAGAGCACUCUAGCAGGACUGCCGUUGACAAAACGGAGGAAGGUGGGGAUGACGUCAAAUCAUCAUGCCCCUUAUGACCUGGGCCUCACACGUACUACAAUGGCUGUUAACAGAGGGAUGCAAAGCCGCGAGGUGGAGCGAACCCCUAAAAGCAGUCUUAGUUCGGAUUGUAGGCUGCAACCCGCCUACAUGAAGUCGGAAUUGCUAGUAAUCGCAGAUCAGCAUGCUGCGGUGAAUACGUUCCCGGGCCUUGUACACACCGCCCGUCACACCAUGAGAGCCGGGGGGACCCGAAGUCGGUAGUCUAACCGCAAGGAGGACGCCGCCGAAGGUAAAACUGGUGAUUGGGGUGAAGUCGUAACAAGGUAGCCGUAGGAGAACCUGCGGCUG
rnacentral:rRNA from 1 species